AAAUGGUGAAAAAAACUCUUGGUCGUAGAAAGGUAGAGAUAGUGAAAAUGACUAAGGAAUCAAACCUUCAAGUCACAUUUUCCAAGAGAAAAGCUGGUCUUUUUAAGAAGGCUAGUGAAUUUUGCACAUUAUGUGAUGCAAAAAUUGCGAUGAUCGUGUUUUCACCAGCUGGAAAAGUAUUUUCUUUUGGUCAUCCAAAUGUUGAUGUUCUGCUUGACCACUUUCGAGGGUGUGUUGUAGGACACAACAACACAAACCUUGA
rnacentral:sRNA from 1 species